CGAGCCGGCCGGGCGGCCGCGGGCGGGAGCGAUCUCGCCCGAGGAACGUCCGGGCUCCACAGGGCAGGGUGGUUGCUAACGGCAACCCGGGGCGACCCGCGGGACAGUGCCACAGAAACAGACCGCCGCCGCCUCGCGCGGCGGUAAGGGUGAAACGGUGGUGUAAGAGACCACCAGCAUCCCGGGUGACCGGGGUGGCUAGGUAAACCCCACCCGGAGCAAGGUCAAGAGGGAGCCUUCGGGCUCUUGCGCAGGCGUUCGACGGCGGCCCGCCCGAGCCUGCGGGUAGACCGCUGGAGCCUGCCGGUGACGGCAGGCCUAGAUGGAUGGCCGCCCAUCGCAUCGCCGCAAGGCGGGCGGGGACAGAACCCGGCGUACAGGCCGACUCGUCCG
rnacentral:RNase_P_RNA from 1 species